CCCCGCCCGCCUACGGGAGGCAGCAGUGGGGAAUUUUCCGCAAUGGGCGCAAGCCUGACGGAGCAACGCCGCGUGUGGGAAGAAGGCUCUUGGGCUGUCAACCACUUUUCUCAGGGAAGAAUUACUGACGGUACCUGAGGAAUCAGCCUCGGCUAACUCCGUGCCAGCAGCCGCGGUAAUACGGAGGAGGCAAGCGUUAUCCGGAAUUAUUGGGCGUAAAGCGUCCGCAGGGGGCGCAUCAAGUCUGCUGUCAAAGGUCGGAGCUUAACUCCGGUGUGGCAGUGGAAACGGGUGCGCUAGAGGGCGACAGGGGUAGAGGGAAUUCCCAGUGUAGCGGUGAAAUGCGUAGAGAUUGGGAAGAACACCGGUGGCGAAAGCGCUCUACUGGGUCGCACCUGACCCUCAGGGACGAAAGCUAAGGUAGCGAAAGGGAUUAGAUACCCCUGUAGUCUUAGCCGUAAACGAUGGAUACUAGGCGUGGUUUGUAUCGACCCAAGCCGUGCCGAAGCUAACGCGUUAAGUUCCCGCCUGGGGAUACGCCAACCCCAGG
rnacentral:rRNA from 1 species